rnacentral:rRNA from 1 species
UACGUAGGGUGCAAGCGUUGUCCGGAAUUAUUGGGCGUAAAGAGCUCGUAGGCGGUUUGUCACGUCUGCUGUGAAAACUCGGGGCUUAACUCCGGGCCUGCAGUGGGUACGGGCAGACUAGAGUGCGGUAGGGGAGACUGGAAUUCCUGGUGUAGCGGUGAAAUGCGCAGAUAUCAGGAGGAACACCGGUGGCGAAGGCGGGUCUCUGGGCCGUAACUGACGCUGAGGAGCGAAAGCGUGGGGAGCGAACAGGG